AACGAACGCUGGCGGCAGGCCUAACACAUGCAAGUCGAGCGGACCCUUCGGGGUUAGCGGCGGACGGGUGAGUAACGCGUGGGAAUAUGCCCUUCUCUACGGAAUAGUCCUGGGAAACUGGGGGUAAUACCGUAUACGCCCUUUGGGGGAAAGAUUUAUCGGGGAAGGAUUAGCCCGUGUUUGAUUGGGUAGUUGGUGGGGUAAUGGCCUACCAAGCCGACGAUCCAUAGCUGGUUUGAGAGGAUGAUCAGCCACACUGGGGCUGAGACACGGCCCAGUCCCCUAGGGGGGGCAGGGGGGGGGAACCUUAAGCAAGGGGGCCAACCCUAAUCUCGCCGCGCCGGGGAAGGGAUGAAGGCCUUGGGUUUGAAAAUCCCUUUCAGCCGGAAAGAUAAUGACGGCACCAGGAAAAGAAGCCCCGGCUAACUCCGU
rnacentral:rRNA from 1 species